AGUUGGGUUGAGGACAAGAGAGGGCUGGUGUUUUCAUUGUAAGCUCGUACAGUGUUGUAAUUCGCAAAACCUUUCACCUUCUCUAUCUCAUCAUUAGCAUGUAUCUGUUAAGAGAAAAAGGGUAAGAGAAGAACCACAAGAUGUGAAAAUUGUAAAGUGGCAUCUGCGUACUCUGUUACAGCAGUAUCUCAGGCCAGGGAACUGUUUGCAUACUCCACUGCCCUUUGCUUCAUUGAUCAAUGGGAAUGGGAACUACCUUAGCAUUGGGUUUCAAUUCUCUACUGUGCAGACGCGCCUGAAGGGAUGAUAUUAGGGAAUCAAGAGCUCUUAAAGCCAGAAACUUUCAAUCUCAAAAGGAAGUUAAGAGCAAAAAUACUGAGAAACAGAGCACACUGAUAGAGUAGAAUCCAAGAUAACAACGAAUUUGUUAUUGGUGUUGCUAACCGUAAAGACCGAGGUAUCAGCUAGUCAAGAGCUUUCGCUACUGAGAUUGAUUCAAAGCAGACGAGGUUCCAGCGGAAGGUUUGUAGGACUGUGAGGCCGAGGUGAACGGUGGAGGAGGAGAGAAACACCGAGUGGUUAGGGAUUUGGCGAAAAGGAGGAGACGUCGGAGGCGAAGCGAUUACAGUGGCGGUGAAGAACGGAGGAGAAA